GGGGGAAUAUUGCACAAUGGGCGCAAGCCUGAUGCAGCAACGCCGCGUGAGGGAAGACGGUUUUCGGAUUGUAAACCUCUGUCAUUAGUGACGAAGAAGUGACGGUAGCUAAUGAGGAAGCCACGGCUAACUACGUGCCAGCAGCCGCGGUAAUACGUAGGUGGCGAGCGUUAUCCGGAAUUACUGGGUGUAAAGGGAGCGCAGGCGGGAUAGCAAGUCAGCGGUGAAAUGCAUGGGCUUAACCCAUGAGCUGCCGUUGAAACUGUUAUUCUUGAAUGGAGUAGAGGCAGGCGGAAUUCCGAGUGUAGCGGU
rnacentral:rRNA from 1 species